UUUUUUUUUUUUUUUUUUUUUUUUUUUUUUUUUUCCUUCUUUCGAUAGCAAUAACUGUAUAUAUUUGCAUUACCUUGGAAAUAAAUUCCUUUCAUGAUUUGACUGAAUGGACCAUCUAUUCUGCUAGGAAGAAACUAAGACACCAAUUGUCCUGUAUCCAGAGGAGCUGCUUUGCAGGCUGGAGAUGGAGGAAGUCCCAGUGGUGGAACAGAAGCACCAGGGGCUGGGUAAGUGUUGGCCUCCAGAAGGAAAGGAGUCCUCAUGGUAAAGGUGCUGUCCUUCAUUCUCAGGAAUGAACCACACUUCCGGUGAAAGCAGCAUGUCUUCUAUUCUUCCACACUCGACUCAGAGUAAUACUUGCAACUGCUGUUAUCCAAACAAAGAUAUCUACUAUCAUUGAUUGGUCCUAACCUGACUUCAUCAUACCUCAGAUUCUGCCUUCAGGAGCAGCUUAGGAAUUUGACUGAAGGAACCUCUUUGUAAUACAGCUGUGAAGGGCAGCAUUUCAUACUAACUCACAAGAAGAGAAGAUUUAUUCUGGAUUUAGGAGAUGUUACUUUUAUGCAUAUUUUUGAAAAUUGAAGGGAAAUAAGUAGCCUUCUAUCCCCUUUCCCCUGAAGCAAAGAAAUCUGAAAGCUGCAAAUGGAACAGACUGAAGCCAUUUUGGAGAUGGAUGUUUAAGUUGUACAGCAUGUAUCGGAUUGUUUAAUAAGUAUUCUCUCUUUUUCUUUCAUUACAUGAGGGUUUGCUUUUCUUGGAUCACACAGAUUCUUGUAAAAAUGUAACAAGCUACUAUUCUGAAUAUGCCAAAUAAGAAACAGAUGUAUCUCUUUAAAGAAUAGUCUAUCAGUAAUAUUAAUGGGAUUUCAUGUUCAGGGACCAGGCACCUCCCUUUCCUCAUGCCAGCCUUCUUGGCCUGAACAAAGAGGCUCUUCUAGCAAUGACUUGCACGUGGCAAAGGAGAUAAAGGAGGUUUUGGUAGCUACAGAAUAAAGCAUGGCAUUUUUUCUCUUUUCAUGAUGUAUUUUUAAUGUGCUAUACCUUUGACACAAACCACAAGGUUUUCUGUGGUGGACUGAUUUAAACCCAAGGCUUGACCCUGUUGUCAAUGUCUCUUUCACACCACAGUUUAACUGGUGUAACUCCAUUGCCUCAGUGAAGUUCCUCUGACUUAAAUGUGAUCCUCCCCAAUUUAAUACCAUGUAGAUCUAUAUUCAGGUGA